rnacentral:rRNA from 1 species
AUUGAACGCUGGCGGCAGGCUUAACACAUGCAAGUCGAGCGGUAGCACAAGAGAGCUUGCUCUCUGGGUGACGAGCGGCGGACGGGUGAGUAAUGUCUGGGAAACUGCCUGAUGGAGGGGGAUAACUACUGGAAACGGUAGCUAAUACCGCAUAACGUCGCAAGACCAAAGAGGGGGACCUUCGGGCCUCUUGCCAUCAGAUGUGCCCAGAUGGGAUUAGCUAGUAGGUGGGGUAAUGGCUCACCUAGGCGACGAUCCCUAGCUGGUCUGAGAGGAUGACCAGCCACACUGGAACUGAGACACGGUCCAGACUCCUACGGGAGGCAGCAGUGGGGAAUAUUGCACAAUGGGCGCAAGCCUGAUGCAGCCAUGCCGCGUGUGUGAAGAAGGCCUUCGGGUUGUAAAGCACUUUCAGCGAGGAGGAAGGUGGUGAACUUAAUACGUUCAUCAAUUGACGUUACUCGCAGAAGAAGCACCGGCUAACUCCGUGCCAGCAGCCGCGGUAAUACGGAAGGUGCAAGCGUUAAUCGGAAUUACUGGGCGUAAAGCGCACGCAGGCGGUUUGUUAGUCAGAUGUGAAAUCCCCGGGCUCAACCUGGGAACUGCAUUUGAAACUGGCAAGCUAGAGUCUCGUAGAGGGGGGUAGAAUUCCAGGUGUAGCGGUGAAAUGCGUAGAGAUCUGGAGGAAUACCGGUGGCGAAGGCGGCCCCCUGGACGAAGACUGACGCUCAGGUGCGAAAGCGUGGGGAGCAAACAGGAUUAGAUACCCUGGUAGUCCACGCUGUAAACGAUGUCGAUUUGGAGGUUGUGCCCUUGAGGCGUGGCUUCCGGAGCUAACGCGUUAAAUCGACCGCCUGGGGAGUACGGCCGCAAGGUUAAAACUCAAAUGAAUUGACGGGGGCCCGCACAAGCGGUGGAGCAUGUGGCUUAAUUCGAUGCAACGCGAAGAACCUUACCUACUCUUGACAUCCAGAGAACUUUCCAGAGAUGGAUUGGUGCCUUCGGGAACUCUGAGACAGGUGCUGCAUGGCUGUCGUCAGCUCGUGUUGUGAAAUGUUGGGUUAAGUCCCGCAACGAGCGCAACCCUUAUCCCUUGUUGCCAGCGGUUCGGCCGGGAACUCAAAGGAGACUGCCAGUGAUAAACUGGAGGAAGGUGGGGAUGACGUCAAGUCAUCAUGGCCCUUACGAGUAGGGCUACACACGUGCUACAAUGGCAUAUACAAAGAGAAGCGACCUCGCGAGAGCAAGCGGACCUCAUAAAGUAUGUCGUAGUCCGGAUUGGAGUCUGCAACUCGACUCCAUGAAGUCGGAAUCGCUAGUAAUCGUAGAUCAGAAUGCUACGGUGAAUACGUUCCCGGGC